GAACUUAAUUGCGUCUCCAGCAUCAUAGUAGCCACCAGAAAGAUCUUUAAAGAGAGACGAUGAGCCAUCGCCAUCUCGUGUGCAGGAAUUGCCCCUCCAGGACACAUUAUUAUGCUUCGGGAGCUUACCAGAUCGCUGAGCGUUGAAGAACAUGAGGGCUUUAUGGAGGGCAAGAGUGUAAUUGUCCGGCGGCGGGUGGGGAUGGUGGUGGCGUGGCACCGUUUUGACGAUUAAAGUAAUAAGACCGGCGAGAAACCCAGAUACAAGUAGGGUUCCAACAGUCCAGACGAAGAUCUUACGGCUGACAAUAAUGCAGCCGA
rnacentral:misc_RNA from 1 species